rnacentral:tRNA from 1 species
GCCUUCGGGGUGUAGUGGUUAGCAAACUCGACGCGUAACCGAGAGGUCCGUGGUUCGAUUCCCGGCGAAAGCU